rnacentral:rRNA from 1 species
UACGGAGGGUGCAAGCGUUGUUCGGAAUUAUUGGGCGUAAAGAGCGUGUAGGCGGUUUGUUAAGUCUGAUGUGAAAGCCCUGGGCUCAACCCAGGAAGUGCAUUGGAAACUGGCAAACUUGAGUACGGGAGAGGAAAGUGGAAUUUCGAGUGUAGGGGUGAAAUCCGUAGAUAUUCGAAGGAACACCAGUGGCGAAGGCGGCUUUCUGGACCGAUACUGACGCUGAGACGCGAAAGCGUGGGGAGCAAACAGG